rnacentral:rRNA from 1 species
AGGGGCAGCAUGGUCUUAGCUUGCUAAGGCUGAUGGCGACCGGCGCACGGGUGAGUAACACGUAUCCAACCUGCCGUCUACUCUUGGCCAGCCUUCUGAAAGGAAGAUUAAUCCAGGAUGGCAUCAUGAGUUCACAUGUCCGCAUGAUUAAAGGUAUUUUCCGGUAGACGAUGGGGAUGCGUUCCAUUAGAUAGUAGGCGGGGUAACGGCCCACCUAGUCAACGAUGGAUAGGGGUUCUGAGAGGAAGGUCCCCCACAUUGGAACUGAGACACGGUCCAAACUCCUACGGGAGGCAGCAGUGAGGAAUAUUGGUCAAUGGGCGAUGGCCUGAACCAGCCAAGUAGCGUGAAGGAUGACUGCCCUAUGGGUUGUAAACUUCUUUUAUAAAGGAAUAAAGUCGGGUAUGCAUACCCGUUUGCAUGUACUUUAUGAAUAAGGAUCGGCUAACUCCGUGCCAGCAGCCGCGGUAAUACGGAGGAUCCGAGCGUUAUCCGGAUUUAUUGGGUUUAAAGGGAGCGUAGAUGGAUGUUUAAGUCAGUUGUGAAAGUUUGCGGCUCAACCGUAAAAUUGCAGUUGAUACUGGAUGUCUUGAGUGCAGUUGAGGCAGGCGGAAUUCGUGGUGUAGCGGUGAAAUGCUUAGAUAUCACGAAGAACUCCGAUU